AUGUUUUGCCCUCACUUUCUCCAUUUUCUGUCUUUUACCAGGUGGCUUCAGCUUGUUACCAACAUGGAAAGAAUCCAUCAGAGACCAGACUCCCCACCUGCAACCAGCUCUGUAUCUUUGAGGAGUGAUGAUUCAAAGGAUCACGACAUUUACUUUAAAAAAGGAGAACCCUCUGCUGUUAAAGAAGUUGAUCCAGAAAGCUCAUCUGUUUCCAAUUCCCAGUCUGGCCAGCAGCAUCUACCAGACCGGGACUCUAUAUUUAUGGUCUGUACAUACAUUUCCUGUGCUCACAGCCUCACAUAUAUCAGUGGAUUAUAUGUCAAUCCAUCACUGAUCUUCCAUGUUUUUAGACUG
rnacentral:lncRNA from 1 species